GACGAACGCUGGCGGCGUGCUUAACACACGCAAGUCGAACGGAAAGGCCCUGCUUGCAGGGUACUCGAGUGGCGAACGGGUGAGUAACACGUGGGUGAUCUGCCCUGCACUUCGGGAUAAGCCUGGGAAACUGGGUCUAAUACCGGAUAGGAGCCAUUUUUAGUGUGAUGGUUGGAAAGUUUUUUCGGUGUAGGAUGAGCUCGCGGCCUAUCAGCUUGUUGGUGGGGUAAUGGCCUACCAAGGCGGCGACGGGUAGCCGGCCUGAGAGGGUGGACGGCCACAUUGGGACUGAGAUACGGCCCAGACUCCUACGGGAGGCAGCAGUGGGGAAUAUUGCACAAUGGGCGCAGGCCUGAUGCAGCGACGCCGCGUGGGGGAUGACGGCCUUCGGGUUGUAAACUCCUUUCGCUAGGGACGAAGCUUUUUGUGACGGUACCUAGAUAAGAAGCACCGGCUAACUACGUG
rnacentral:rRNA from 1 species